rnacentral:rRNA from 1 species
AUUGAACGUUGGCGGCAGGCCUAAUACAUGCAAGUCGAACGGCAGCACAGAGAGCUUGCUCUUGGGUGGCGAGUGGCGGACGGGUGAGUAACGCGUAGGAAUCUACCCAGUAGCGGGGGAUAGCCCGGGGAAACUCGGAUUAAUACCGCAUACGCCCCACGGGGGAAAGGCCGGGAUCUUCGGACCGGUCACUAUUGGAGGAGCCUGCGUUGGAUUAGCUUGUUGGUGGGGUAAAGGCCUACCAAGGCUACGAUCCAUAGCUGGUCUGAGAGGACGAUCAGCCACACUGGAACUGAGACACGGUCCAGACUCCUACGGGAGGCAGCAGUAGGGAAUAUUGUGCAAUGGGCGAAAGCCUGACACAGCCAUGCCGCGUGUGUGAAGAAGGCCCUAGGGUUGUAAAGCACUUUCAGUAGGGAGGAAAAGUUGAUGGCUAAUACCCAUCAGCCCUGACGUUACCUACAGAAGAAGCACCGGCAAACUCCGUGCCAGCAGCCGCGGUA